AGUGUGUGUGUCAGGUGUGAUCGUGUGUGAGAGGUGGUUUGUGUGUUUCAGGGGUGGUCGUUAGUGUGUGUGUGAGAAAGGUGGUUGAUGUUUGUGUUUCAGGGGUGAUCGUGUGUGAGAGGUGGUUUGUGUGUUUCAGGGGUGGUCAGUGUGUGCAUGUGGUAGUUAGUGUGUAUGUCAGAGGUGGUCAGUGUGUGUGUGUCAGGGGUGAUCGUGUGUGAGAAGUGGUUUGUGUGUUUCAGGGGUGGUCGGUAUGGGCAUGUCAGGGGUGAUAGGUGUGUGUGAGGUGGUUAGUGUGUGUGUUUGUCAGGGGUGAUCGUGUGUGAGAGGUGGUUUGUUUGUUUCAGGGGUGGUCGUUAGUGUGUGUGAGAAAGGUGGUUGGUGUUUGUGUGUCAGGGGUGAUCGGUGUGUGAGAAGUGGUUUGUGUGUUUCAAGGGUGGUCAGUGUGUGCGUGUGGUAGUUAGUGUGUGUGAGAGGUGGUUGGUGUGUGUGUGAGAAGGGGUUUGUGUGUUUCAGGGGAGGUCGGUAUGGGCAUGUCAGGGGUGAUAGGUGUGUGUGAGGUGGUUAGUGUGUAUGUCAGAGGUGGUCAGUGUGUGUGUGUGUCAGGGGUGAUCGUGUGUGAGAAGUGGUUUGUGUGUUUCAGGGGUGGUCGGUAUGGGUGUGUCAGGGGUGAUAGGUGUGUGUGAGGUGGUUGGUUUGUAUGUUAGAGGUGGUCAGUGUGUGUGUCAGGGGUGAUCGUGUGUUCGAGG